rnacentral:rRNA from 1 species
GAUGAACGCUGGCGGCGUGCCUAAUACAUGCAAGUCGAGCGAACGGACGAGAAGCUUGCUUCUCUGAUGUUAGCGGCGGACGGGUGAGUAACACGUGGAUAACCUACCUAUAAGACUGGGCUAACUUCGGGAAACCGGAGCUAAUCCCGGAUAAUAUUUUGAACCGCAUGGUUCAAAAGUGAAAGACGGUCUUGCUGUCCCUUAUAGAUGGAUCCGCGCUGCAUUAGCUAGUUGGUAAGGUAACGGCUUACAAAGGCAACGAUGCAUAGCCGACCUGAGAGGGUGAUCGGCCACACGGGAACGGAGACACGGUCCAGACUCCUACGGGAGGCAGCAGUAGGGAAUCUUCCGCAAUGGGCGAAAGCCUGACGGAGCAACGCCGCGUGAGUGAUGAAGGUCUUCGGAUCGUAAAACUCUGUUAUUAGGGAAGAACAUAUGUGUAAGUAACUGUGCACAUCUUGACGUUACCUAAUCAGAAAGCCACGGCUAACUACGUG